ensembl:snoRNA SNORD15 Small nucleolar RNA SNORD15
CUUCAGUGAUGAUACGAUGACGAGUCGGAUCGAGGCCCGUCUCUGAGGACUCUGGCUCAGGCUCACGUUCUGUGCGGCUGAUUCAGUUCCUCAGAUCACGUGUCCUCUCAGAUUGAAGAUGUAGAGGCAUUUGUCUGAGAAGG